UCUAGUUGAAUUGCUUUCAAGCGGUGAUUGAAAAGUGAAUAUAAUUUCCCUUGAUUUUGAGCACAAGUGACAUGUUGUGCGGAAACUCGUCAAUGGUUGGGCAACAUAUGCAUAUCCGGCAAAAUCAAGCCGAGGCAAUAAUGUUCGUCCAUCUAAUUAACCUGCACCAUGUUUGGUUAGCUAGCUGGUUAAGAAUUUGUUGUUGUUCUGAGCUAGUGUGCUUGCUGGCAUGGGGGUAUGCAUAUUGCAGAUUUAACUAACAAAACUCAAGGCUUUUGAUGAACUGACGUCGGUCAAUUGUUUCACACUCCAGUAGCUAGCUGGUGGGAGACACCUCGAUUGGAGACAUCAAAUAAUAGAUAUAUGUGUAUUUGUGACUAACAGUUAGCCAACAAGGGUUUAACAACAUUACAGAAACAGUAGAAGUACAUAUGCAGAGCAGAGGGAGCUAGCUAGCUAGCUGCCUGAGCUGCACCGGCAUGCGUGGUGCAGCCUGUAGCCUUCUAAUUUGCAACCAUGCAAUUGGAGAUGACUUCUGAAUUUUGAAUUUGUUUUGUUUCAGGAGAUUGAGAAGUCAGACAUCUGGAUUUUGGUGUAGAACACAUGUUAUGCUCUGGGCAUAUGAAGUUCCAAGGGCAAGAAAUAGUAUAACUGGAGGCAAGAGAAGAACUUUCUGUCAUAUACCAUCAGGAUAGCAAAGCUAAUACAAUUUUUUAAAGCAAUGAUUGUUCAGUGUGAUCCUUAAGUCCUUCACACUCAUUCUUACUGGCCAUGCACUAGAAAUGAUCAUGUCAUCUUAUGUAUCACUUCAUAUGUAUGUAUGUCUCUCGUGGAUGCGCCAGAUUGACAAAUAUGUGUGUCCGGGAAGGGUCUAGUUUGACAUGUACUCGAAUAUUUGUGCAACUGAUGGUCUAGCUUGACAUGUACUUAAAUAAUUCCAAUAUUUGUGCUUGGAAUUGUCCAGUCUAA